GAUCGCGCCUCUUCCCUCCCUCUCCCCCUUCUACUGUGUCCUCUCCUGAUUUUCCUCCCCGAGGAAGUCGGCCAGUGGAAUCUCGGCCGAUACAAACGCGUGGAACGGCAUCUAGUUGGCAGGGAAGCGCGUCGAGUGGACAGUUGGGAGUCGGAAGAGAGCGUAUGCGCCAUAUGUACAUAAUUACCACGGGCCAAUCGGGGAUUGAAAGCGGUGCACAAGUUUGUCGUAGCGUCGAAGCUCCAGGGUCUGGCUCGUCCCGUUGGUUCCCUCGCGUGCGUGCAUAAGCGCGCGCGCACACACAGCCGCGCAACGGUGGUUCAGUUGGUUAUUGACGUUCGUGUGCACGGGGCGCGUUGCUAGACUCUGUUCAACCACACUCUGUUCGAAAGUCGGGAACAGUAGCGAAAGGGAAAGAGGGAAUUGGCGCGUGGGUAUCUUUCGCUCGCUCCUUCCAAGAUCCCAAGAGAGGAAAUCGGAUACCGAAGAGAAGAGAGAAGAAGGAGUCGAAGGAGAAAAUAACCACUUCGGGACCGGAAAAAAAAGGAAAGACGAGUGACUGUGAUCGCCGCCCGGAAAAAAAUAUCCGAGCGAGGAGAGAGAGGCUGGUGCGGAACCGAGCUACAUGGCUCCGAAAAUUAUUCCUUCUUUCCACCGUCCACGCGUUCUUUGCUAUCCACGUUCGAGCGAGCACCACCGGUUCGAUCAACCGAAGGGGACCUCUAAAUAAUUCUCGAAUAAUUCUUGGAUUGAUUUUCGUUUCGUCGAGACGAAGAAGAGCGAAGAAGUCCAUCCAGAUUUCCACUUCCAACCUCCGCGCUGUGUCGGGUGUUAAAUCGCAUCUUGAACACGAUAUAACACGAGAGUGGACACGAGUACGGACGACCGUGCGACAAGGGAGAGCGUAAAGGGAGAACACAAAGAAGGAAGAGAGUGCGAAGGCAUGACGAGCAUGACGAGCAUGCGAACGAUGCCGCCCGUUUAACGAAUCGCCGUUUAUAAUAUUUUAUUACACGGUUGGAAAACUGCUCUCUCUACACUGGUCAAAGCUUAUGUCACACGGAAGACGAAAGAGGAGAAAAGCGACGAGAGAGAAAGAACGACGUGACACAGUGAAAAAAGAGAGGACGGAAGAUCGGGGAUGCAUGUUCCAGGACAAUAAUCGUGACAGUAGCGAUAAUCGUGAAACGUGAGCUUCCUUCGAUCUCUUCGAAUUGUUAAAGUGAUUCAAUCUCUCUUUUCGCGUGGUUGGAUUGCGAGUCGACUCAUCGUCUCUCUCUUCAACGAUUUCGAUGCUUUGUUUUCGCAAACUAAUGUUCACGCUUGUACGAACAGAAACCUUUUCAACGUGCGAUCGACGUGCACGCAUCACGCUUCUUCGAUCACCCCCUUCUCGCCCCCUUUCUUUCGUCUGAUUUCGUACAUUUCGAAAUUCGCGUUCGUCCUUUUCCCAUCUCUUUCCGUUCCGUAUUAUAAUAUUCGCGCGCGUCGAAAUCGAAAACGAAAACAAAUCGCGCCCUACGUACGACGAUUUUAUAACAAUAAUAUAACAAGAACAACAAUAAUACGAUCUACGCCGUAUCGAUUAAAUUAGUCUUCUCUCAGAUAUAUAUUUGAAUCGACGAGUUGCGAUUCCCGCUCGAAUCAUCCUUCUCCCUCGUAAAAACAUCGCACGAGGUUUUUUGCGACGAGCCACGAGGUUUUUCAACCGUCGUUUUUUCAAACGAGACGUCGCGAUACCGCGUCGAUCGAUGCUGAGAAAAAACACAAUUUUUCACGACGUAAGACGUAAGGACAAGAAGGCGAAUAGGGAGAAGAAGAAUAACAAUACCUCUCUACGCGUGUACUCUCUCCUUCCCUUUGUUCGCGGAAAGGUGUCUGCGUCCGCGUGGGAGCCGUUUCGACGAGGUGGCGCGUUCUUCGUACCAGGCAUGCCUUCCGCGUUAUCCUGAGCGAUUUUUUCCUACUCGGUGGAUAUAAUUAUAUUUCUAAGAGAUAAUUAUUUAAAGAAGAAGAAGAAGAAGAAGAAGAAAAAAAGAUAGAUGAUUAAAAGAAUAUUCUUGUAAUAUAAAGAGAAAAAGAAAAAAAACAUAAGAUCCUCUUAUUGGGGGAUUCUUUAUUUGUUGAACUGCCGUCGCUGUUCUUCGUAGUCGUUGACGCGUCGUCGUCCUUGUUGUUAUUGUUACACAACCGUUGUUGCACCGUCUCGUGUAAUAGUUUCUCGUCGCUGCCAUUCUACUACGCCGUUCUCCUCUCGUCUCCCUUGCCUCCGGUGAUUGUGUCGUGUGUCGGUGGUUUUCUCCACCGCCCUCCCCUCCCUCCCCCCUCUCUCCAACCCCCCGUCGCCACCCUUCCAAAAAAAUAUCACACACUCUUUUCUAAACAUCGACAAACUUGACCCUUUGCUCGAUCCGAUCUGCGAGUCCAUUUUUUCCCCCCAAAAACAAAAUAAAGAAAGAGAGAGAGAGAGAGAGAGAAAAAGGGAAGAACGUUCGAACUCGUCUUUUCGUCUUGGAAACAAAGAACUCCGAAGUGAAGCAUGGUAGUCAAGAACGAGAAUACGAGAAAUGGGCAUGAGCUGGCUCCAUUGAACGAGGAACGUCAGGCAGGGCAAAACGUGACAAUCGUGGUAACCGGGAAUCAAAAUGCUGCUGGCAGUCAAGAGACCAAAGAGGAGAACAGGGCGGAAUGGAGCGGGAAGAUGCAAUUUUUCCUCAGUAUUAUCGGUUACAGCGUGGGACUUGGGAAUAUAUGGAGAUUCCCUUACCUGUGCCAACAGAACGGAGGAGGUGCCUUUCUCAUCCCCUUUUUCGUGAUGCUAAUCCUAGAGGGUGUACCCCUCUUUUUAAUCGAGCUGGGUCUCGGUCAACGCAUGCGACAGGGCGCCCUUGGUGUAUGGAACACGAUACAUCCAUGGUUAGGCGGUAUAGGGAUAGCAUCGUGCAUCGUCACCUUCUUCGUAGCACUUUAUUACAACGUCAUCAUUACCUGGUGCUUCUAUUAUCUUUUCAAUUCGCUGGAGGCCGUCACGAUUAAAGCUGGCGAACCGUUACCAUGGGCGAAAUGUCCGGAGGUUGAUGGGAAGCCGGUCGAGGAAUGCGUGAAGAGUUCGGAAACUGCCUAUUUUUGGUACAGAACCACUCUGGACGCGGCACCCUCAAUCGAGGAAGGAUCGAGCGGUCUGAAAUGGUGGAUCGUCCUUUGUCUACUGUUGAGUUGGAUCGUCGUCUUCUUUAUCGUGAUGAAGGGAAUACAAUCGUCGGGGAAGGUGGUAUAUUUUACAUCCAUGUUCCCGUAUUUGGUGCUUACUAUCUUUUUUAUUCGUGGAAUAACGUUAAAAGGUGCCAGCGCUGGAUUGGCCCACAUGUACACGCCAAAGAUCGAGAAGCUGUUAGAGCCGACGGUGUGGCUCGACGCAGCGACGCAAGUUUUUUAUAGUUUCGGACUAGCGUUCGGCUCCCUGAUCGCGUUCGGAUCUUACAACACUCCAGACAACCACUGCGUCCGGGACGUGAUUCUGGUUAGCUGUUGCAACGCCUUCACCGCAAUUUACGCGAGUGUCGUGAUAUUCGCCAUUUUAGGCUUUAAGGCGAUGACAAAUGUCGAUAAGUGCCUCGCAGGUAACAAAGACUUACUCGUUCAACACGGAUUUGCCUAUCAGAAUACCACCAUGAAGGAAUACGAGAGUAUUGUAAAUAAUAUCACUGCAACGAACAUGAAUUUCACCCUUGAAACGUGUAGCCUGAGCGAACAAUUGGACAACGCUGCCGAAGGAACGGGAUUAGCUUUCAUAGUGUUCACACAGGCGAUAGUCGAGCUACCAGGCGCUCCUUUCUGGUCCUGUAUUUUCUUUCUGAUGCUUUUAGCCCUCGGUCUCGGUUCCCAAAUCGGUAUACUAGAGGGCAUGCUGUGCGUCAUCUUCGACAUAGAUCUGUUCAAGAGAAUAAAAAAGCAAUACAUGACAGGGGUAGUUUGCACGGUGUGCUUCUUUGUUGGUUUAAUAUUCUGUACCGGAGCCGGAGAAUAUUGGCUAAAGAUGUUCGACAGUUUCGCAGGUACCAUCGGUCUCGUGAUGGUCGCGCUCAUGGAAAUGAUAUCCGUCAUCUUUGUUUACGGCCACGAAAAAUUCACGAAAGAUAUCGAAGAGAUGACAGGAUACAGACCAGGGGCGUAUUGGCAAUUCACCUGGCGAUUUCUCGCCCCUAUAAUCAUGGUCUGCAUCCUUGUCUCCAGUAUAAUCUCCAUGGUUGUGAAGAAGCCUCAAUAUUCCGCGUGGGAUGCGUCACGGGUGAGUAGUGGAAAGUAUUAUCUCGUGACCCAUAUAUCUCGUUGCCAAAAUACCUACGUCACGACCUCGACAUUUCUUUCUUUUUUUUUUUUUNUUUUUUUUUCCUUCCUUUGUUUUCAGGGCAUAGCUGUACCCACCGCGUAUCCCGGCUGGGUGUUGGCUAUAGCGGUCGUCAUCAUUUUUGCGGGCAUCGCGCCAAUACCGAUUGUAUUCCUUUUGAGGCGGUUCCAAUGCGUCAAGUUGGACGUUGACAUUCACCAAGGCAGCAUACGACGUAUCGAUACCACCGUUUCUACCAAAGAAAUGAUGGGAGAUGUCGAUACAACGUAGAGACGUAGUCAUCGUAAUAGAAGGACAACUUAAUUGGCGCACCGAGAGAGAGAGAGAGAGAGAGAGAAACAUGUCACGAUUACCCGUGAUUAGAGCAAGUCUCAGGUGGGAAUCGGGAAGAAGAAUUACAUUUACUCAAAGUGCGUCGAUUAAGCCUUAAGAAUGAGAGCAUUUAAGAUUUACGUUGGACGUACCUGCAGUUAUAGGAAAGCGUCCGUUCUGUGUGCGGUAACGUCGAUUAAUCGCUUCUUCUAUAGCUACCUUACACUUGGACGAGUACCACGACCGCCUCGAAGAUUUUCCCGAGGAGGACGAAGACGUGAACAGCGAUGACGACAACAACAGUGCCCCGCCGAUAACGAAGAUCGUCCCCAACAAACUUCAGGGUAAACCGUUCAAAAUGGAAGUGAUGGACUUUUAAAAGUUGUCAGGUUCGUCGACUUUUGUCGUAUCGUUUCACCUUACGUGACGACAGAACAUGGAAAGAGGGUUGAUCGAACAUUCUCGCCCCUUUCGAAUUUCGAUUCUCAGGAAACGCGUAAGACGAUACGAAAUAAUUGCAGGUACGAAUCGACGAAUGAGAGAGAGAGAGAGAGCGAGCGAGAGCGAGAGAGAAAGAGAAAGAGAGAAUUGGUGCUUUUCGAGAGCAAUACUAAAUAACUUCCGUCGAAUCCGUGUACACGAAUGUGACACGAGAUUAGCGUGUACGAAGCAAAUAAAAAAGAGGGAGAAAAAGCGGAGAAAACUUAGAAAAAUACUCGGUCGAUUCUAAUCGCAUUCGAAAUCGCUUCGUCGCGCCUCCGCUUACUUCACUUCGAUCGUUCGAUCGAUUUUAUCGAGAUCUAAAUUAAUUUUAACUGACUGAACGUUAUCGUGCGACGAUCGGUAUUUAUUUUCGGCUAUUUUAUUUAAUCAUUUGAUUAUAAUCGGCAUCGCAUAGCGAGUAACGAAAGGAGAAAAAAAAAAAAAAAAAAAAAAAGAAAAAA